rnacentral:rRNA from 1 species
UACGUAGGUGACAAGCGUUGUCCGGAUUUUACUGGGCGUAAAGAGCGCGCAGGCGGUCGUCAAGUUCGAGUGUGAAAGCCCCCGGCUCCAACUGGGGAGGGUCACUCGAUACUGAUCGACUCGAAGGCAGGAGAGGGUAGUGGAAUUCCCGGUGUAGUGGUGAAAUGCGUAGAUAUCGGGAGGAACACCAGUGGCGAAGGCGACUACCUGGCCUGUUCUUGACGCUGAGGCGCGAAAGCUAGGGGAGCAAACAGGG